ensembl:lncRNA
NNNNNNNNNNNNNNNNNNNNNNNNNNNNNNNNNNNNNNNNNNNNNNNNNNNNNNNNNNCACGCACACACCCCGUGGGUCUUGCACAUGUGUCUGUGCACACACAGCCCUCGGAACACGCGCACAGCUGCUUGCACGCUCCCUGGAACACGCACGUAUGCACACGCGUGUGUGAUGCAUGCACGCCUCUGGGACAUGCACGUGCACACACGCGCAGCCCCGGAGCUUGCACACGUGUAUGCACGUGCACACCCCUUGGAACAUGCACAUACGCACACACACAGCUGCAUGCACAGCCCUGGAGCUUGCACACGUGUCUGCGCACACACAGCCUUGGCACAUGCACACGUGGGCACACGCAGCUGCUUGCACGCCCCUUGGAGCGCGCAAACACACACACACAUGCGCCUGCACGCACAGCCCUGCAGCUUGCACACGUGCAUGCACCUCCCUCGGAAUAUCUGCACGCACACGGACGUGCUUGCACACCCCUCAGGCACACCCACGUGCACACACUGGGGCACGCACGCAGCCAGAUAUCUGCUUGUGCAGCGCGUACAACACACACGGGCCCCACACCUGCACACGGACGCAGCCGUGCAUGCACACACCUGCAAGCACACACAUGUGUGUACAGGUGUACACACCUGUAGGUGUACACACGUGCGUGCAUCCAAACGCAUCCCCCCACGCACAGGCUCCCCCACGCACCCCCGCUUGCACGCCCCGUGCACCGUCGCACACGCACGGCCCCGGCUUGCAGCGCGCACACGCAGCGCCCGCCGCCAGCGCCCCAGCACCACGCGCCUCGGCGCCUGGCUGCAAAGAAAUUUUCCUGCAGGAAAUCCUGAGUGGUUUUGCAAAUCGCCCCCCCCGGGAGCAGCAGCGGGGUGCUGGAAGCUUGCUCCAUCAGCAGCGCUCCCACGUUUUGCAGCAGGGGCCAGCCCGGAGGGGACACUUUUGCAGCGGGGGGGUGCGCGCAUCCCCACGGGCACGCGGGGACAGACGUGCACACACACGCGCGCACGUGCAGCCAGAUCCACGCGCGCACGAGCUGCUGCGGGUUUGCACACCCAGAAGCGCGGGGUCUGUGCGCAGAGGGGUGUCCCGCAGGAGCUCUAUGGGGGGAGCACCCGGGGUCGCAGAGCGCACCGAGCCCUCUCUGAGCUUUGGGGUUUUUCCUGCUCGUUGCCUGUUGUUGUUUCGUAAGCGACUGGAAGCAAUUAGUUGCCGUGAGGCCGAGUGUUGGCUCGGGGAGCGUUGGUCACACCAGGCCGGGAAAGCGGAAAAGCGGGAGAUGCCGCAAACACCGCAGGGCGCUGUGACAACGGGGUGACAACGGUGACAACAACAACGGGCCACGUGGCGGUGACAGCCGCCACAUCCGCGCUUCGAGGGCUCUGCUAGGAGCAGGGCUGACCCGAAGCGGGUGGAGGACGGGGAUGGGGAUCCAGAAAGGAGCAAGGGGUCAGGGGUCAGGGCAGAGCUGGGGGGGACGGCGGUGACAGCUCCACGAUGGGGCCGUGUCCGUGCUGCUGAGUGUGACACGGGUCUGAUAAGCAUCGGUUGUGGGGAAGGCAGAGGG